UCAGGCCUAACACAUGCAAGUCGAGCGGUAGCGGGAAGAGCUUGCUCUUUGCCGACGAGCGGCGGACGGGUGCGUAACACGUAGGAAUCUGCCUGGUAGUGGGGGAUAGCCCGGAGAAAUCCGGAUUAAUACCGCAUACGCCUUACGAGGGAAAGGAGGGGACUCUUCGGAGCCUUUCGCUAUCAGAUGAGCCUGCGUCGGAUUAGCUUGUUGGUGGGGUAAAGGCCUACCAAGGCGACGAUCCGUAGCUGGUCUGAGAGGAUGAUCAGCCACACUGGGACUGAGACACGGCCCAGACUCCUACGGGAGGCAGCAGUGGGGAAUAUUGCACAAUGGGCGAAAGCCUGAUGCAGCCAUGCCGCGUGUGUGAAGAAGGCCCUAGGGUUGUAAAGCACUUUCAGUGGGGAGGAAAGGUUGAAGGUUAAUACCCUUCAGCUGUGACGUUACCCACAGAAGAAGCACCGGCUAACUCCGUGCCAGCAGCCGCGGUAAUACGGAGGGUGCGAGCGUUAAUCGGAAUUACUGGGCGUAAAGCGUGCGUAGGCGGCCACCUAAGUUGGAUGUGAAAGCCCCGGGCUCAACCUGGGAACUGCAUCCAAAACUGGGUGGCUAGAGUACGGGAGAGGAGUGUGGAAUUUCCUGUGUAGCGGUGAAAUGCGUAGAUAUAGGAAGGAACACCAGUGGCGAAGGCGACACUCUG
rnacentral:rRNA from 1 species